GCCGACGUGGCUCAGUUGGUAGAGCAACGCAUUCGUAAUGCGUGGGUCGGGAGUUCGAGUCUCCCCGUCGGCACCA
rnacentral:tRNA from 1 species